rnacentral:lncRNA from 1 species
AGGAAUAAAAGCAUUAACAGUUUACUCCAGUAAAUAAGACCCACGGCAUUCAGAACUACAAAAACAUCUACAUACCCUGAGUUUCUUAUGCGUUGCAACUAGAAGGGGAGGAAUAAGUGAAUACAGAUCACACAAUGGUCUUGUAAGUGCUGAAAAAGUUGGGUGCUCAAUAGCCCUGCAAAAAUUAGAGGAACAUCAUUGUACUCAGAAACUACUUAAAAAUUAGAGGAACUGGAAAUGCUCUUAGUCCACUCCAGCUCAACAUUAUUUCUUUUGAUGCAUUACAAAAAGUAUCCGUAACAUGCUAGUAUUUACUAAAACACUCUGAUAACUUGAGAAUAAAAUUUUAACCAUUUCCUUGCUGAAAGAGAGCCCAUAAUAUUUUGUAACAUAUCAUAGCAAAUGACACAAAUGUCAGUGUAUAGUUCUCUAGCCUAACAAUAAAACGCUGAUAGCACUGUAACCAACUCUGAAUUUCAUCUUUGAUAACUACCCUCUACUCCAACUUGUCAUAUAUUGACUAGGUUUACUCAAUUAAGCACCUCAGGAUAAAUUGUAUUUGAAAUUCAAUUAGCAUAACUCAAACAUCCAUAUCAUUCAUUAGCAGGAGGAAUUGCAAUGGAAUACACUAUUUACUAGUAUGCUUAACAUAAAAGAAUCUACUGUCUCCAUGAAAAAAAAGAUUAUUUAAUGCACCACUGGUGAAGCUAAAAUCUCCACAUGGGACGCCACUAAUCUGCUACAUGCUUAUUAAGUACACGAUUACUAUCCUAUAUGAAAGUUCAAAAACGCCCCAAGCAAGUUAACUGACAGCCAUGAAUGCCUUUAAGUGUAGAUAAUAUAAAAUCGACAAUGGAAACACAAUACAACAAUAGUAAGAAUAGUUAUGGGGUUUCUCAAAUCCACGGUAACGUAAAUGAUGAUAAUCAUUAACUAUACAAAAAGAAGUGAACAUUAGAGUAUUAAGCUUAAUUCGUUUAAGAAAUUCAGCAACCCUAAAAUUACACAACAAAACGCGAUAAAAUAAAGUUAAAAUUCCAACUAAGGAAUAAACAAAUAAAAAAAUGAUAAGAGAUAAGAAAUGAAUCGGGUCAAUCGCAUCUACUAACUGAAGCUUUGAAGGUAGAAAUGUUGAGAUUUUUAUAGAGAAAAUAGCAAGAAAAUUAAAAGGGAAAGCUUCCCUGUAGUGAAGAAUUGGGGGUUGAGUGGUGUAGGGAAGAAGAGGAUGAGUUUUCAUCCUUCUUCCAAUUUCUGGAAAAUCCAGCAAAAAACCACCAAUUUCAUAAAAAACUUGAAGCUUUUGGGUGACUCACCGGCAGAUCUAUGGAGCAGAAAGAUGGAGAAGGAAGAUUAAGCUGAGAGACAGAGAUGGCAAGACAGAGAUGAGGAGAGGCGGAAGCUUUGAGGAAUGGAAAAUGUCUGCUGCUUAGAAGAGAAUGGAAAAUGUCUGCUUAGAGAAAAAUGAAAAAUGUCUUACCAAUUUUGAAGCCGUAAGACAAUUUCCGGAGGAAUGGGCUUGAUUUUACCGUGUUUUGGAAAAUGUUUUCCUAAAGGAAUUCAUUUUCCCCCAAACAAAC